rnacentral:rRNA from 1 species
AUUGAACGCUGGCGGCAUGCCUUACACAUGCAAAUCGAACGGUAACGGGCCUUCGGGUGCCGACGAGUGGCGAACGGGUGAGUAAUACAUCGGAACGUGCCCGAUCGUGGGGGAUAACGAGGCGAAAGCUUUGCUAAUACAGCAUACGAUCUACGGAUGAAAGCAGGGGACCGCAAGGCCUUGCGCGGACGGAGCGGCCGAUGGCAGAGUAGGUAGUUGGUGGGAUAAAAGCUUACCAAGUCGACGAUCUGUAGCUGGUCUGAGAGGAUGAUCAGCCACACUGGAACUGAGACACGGCCCAGACUCCUACGGGAGGCAGCAGUGGGGAAUUUUGGACAAUGGGCGCAAGCCUGAUCCAGCCAUGCCGCGUGGGGGAAGAAGGCCUUCGGGUUGUAAACUGAUUUUGUACGGAACGAAAAGCCUUCGUUUAAUACAGGGGGGUCAUGACGGUACCGUAAGAAUAAGCACCGGCUAACUACGUG